rnacentral:rRNA from 1 species
CACCGCGGUUAUACGAGAGACCCAAGUUGACAGUCCAACGGCGUAAAGAGUGGUUAAGAAAAACUCAAACUAAAGCCGAACGCUUUCUAAGCUGUUAUACGCACUCGAAAGUAAGAAGCUCAACUACGAAAGUGGCUUUAUAUUCUCUGACCCCACGAAAGCUAAGAAA